GUUUUUAGAAGGGAAAGGGGAAGAAUAAUCACAACUGUUACGAGUAUGACAAGGUAGUUCCCAUUUAGGUACCAUUCUCCAGAAUUCUCCUCGAGCUUCAUAAAUGCUCUGAUCACUUCAGGAAGUUCAUAUUUAAUGAUAAAGAGGUAGCUUGACAUUGCUCCAAUAUUCUGCAUUGUAACUGAAAUGAAAACACUACACUUCCC
rnacentral:lncRNA from 1 species